GCCUGGUGGUUCCUUGAGACAGCUCACUCGUGCUGAUCAUUGAGGUUGUAUUUCACAGGCAAAUAGUGAUGUCUGCGAUUUAAUGCUUGAAAGCUGCCUACCCAUGUGGCUUUCAGAGCCCGGUUGCAGAGACAUUU
ensembl:snoRNA Small nucleolar RNA SNORA84